GUCUGCGCUUGUCCUGUCCUGUAACGUGUUGUCCAACUAGCCUUGCGUUGGUUUAGCAAUUUCUGUGACUCCUUACUAUAGCUACGGGCGCAUGUUAGCUAGCUAUGUCUAGGACCUCUAAAGUUGUACUGGGUGUUUCUGUGGUACUUACAUUGAGCACCGUGAUAGGAGUGCAUCUCAAGCAAAACUGGGACCGAGAGAGACUUCAUGAGGGAGUUCUUAGAGACAUUGAACGUUUGGAGAGGAAAAGAGACAACCUGAGAGUACUGGAGCAACAAAGAAGCCUGACCAAGGAGCUGGAGAGUGAGCGCAACAGGAGGUGAACAGUGCUACAGGGCUCCAACCAUCGCCAGGCAUAACAACAAUAAAACACGACUAGUCUAUCAAUCUCUGGUGACAAUGGACAGCAGCGGUGAGCAGAGGGGUCAGGUAGAUGAUGAGGCCAUGUGCACCUCGG